rnacentral:rRNA from 1 species
CAGUAGCCACGGUAAUACGUAGGGUGCAAGCGUUAUACGGAAUUACUGGGCGUAAAGCGUGCGUAGGCGGUGAGUUAAGUCUGCUGUGAAAUCCCCGGGCUCAACCUGGGAAUGGCAAUGGAUACUGGCAAGCUAGAGUGUGUCAGAGGAUGGUGGAAUUCCCGGUGUAGCGGUGAAAUGCGUAGAGAUCGGGAGGAACAUCAGUGGCGAAGGCGGCCAUCUGGGACAACACUGACGCUGAGGCACGAAAGCGUGGGGAGCAAACAGGAUUAGAUACCCGUGUAGUCCCUGUCUCUUAUAC